rnacentral:rRNA from 1 species
AGAGGCCCGCUAUCGGAAUGGGUACAAUUUAAACCCUUUAACGAGGACCUAUGAGAGGGCAAGUCUGGUGCCAGCAGCCGCGGUAAUUCCAGCUCUCAAGGUGUAUAUCGCCAUUGCUGCGGUUAAAAAGCUCGUAGUUGGAUCUGCGCCUUCGGACUCGGUCCUCCCAACGGGUGCGAACUGAGCUCCAAGGCUACUACUGCUGGUUUUCCCUUGAUGCUCUUCACUGGGUGUCUUGGGUGGCUAGCGAGUUUACUUUGAAAAAAUUAGAGUGCUCAAAACAGGCUAUUGCCUGAAUACCGGUGCAUGGAAUAAUAGAAUAGGAUCUCGGUCCUAUUUUGUUGGUUUUCGGAACUGAGAUAAUGGUUAAGAGGGACAGACGGGGGCAUUCGUAUCGCUGCGUGAGAGGUGAAAUUCUUGGACCGCAGCGAGACGCCCAACUGCGAAAGCAUUUGCCAAGAAUGUCUUCGUUAAUCAAGAACGAAAGUCAGAGGUUCGAAGGCGAUCAGAUACCGCCCUAGUUCUGACCGUAAACGAUGCCAACUAGCGAUCCGCCGGUGGUAAUUACGCCCCGGCGGGGAGCUUCCCGGAAACGAAAGUCUUCCGGUUCCGGGGGAAGUAUGGUUGCAAAGCUGAAACUUAAAGGAAUUGACGGAAGGGCACCACCAGGAGUGGAGCUUGCGGCUUAAUUUGACCCAACACGGGAAAACUCACCCGGCCCGGACACCGUAAGGAUUGACAGAUUGAGAGCUCUUUCUUGAUUCGGUGGUUGGUGGUGCAUGGCCGUUCUUAGUUGGUGGAGCGAUUUGUCUGGUUUAUUCCGAUAACGAACGAGACUCUGGCCUACUAACUAGUGACAGAAUUAUUGCUGUUCUGGUUACUUCUUAGAGGGACAAGUGGUGUUCAGCCACACGAAAUUGAGCAAUAACAGGUCUGUGAUGCCCUUAGAUGUCCGGGGCUGCACGCGUGCUACACUGGAGGAAACAGCAUGCAAAACCAUUGCCGAGAGGCAUUGGUAAACCCAAGAAAAUCUUCCGUGAUCGGGAUCGGGAAUUGCAAUUAUUUCCCUUGAACGAGGAAUUCCCAGUAAGUGUGGGUCAUCAGCUCGCGCUGAUUACGUCCCUGCCCUUUGUACACACCGCCCGUCGCUGCCCGGGACUGAGCCGUUUCGAGAAAAGCGGGGACUGCUGCUGUUGGGGCUUUCGGGCCUUGGCUUCGGUGGAAACCGCUUUAAUCGCAGUGGCUUGAACCGGGCAAAAGUCGUAACAAGGUUUCCGUAGGUGAACCUGCGGAAG